rnacentral:rRNA from 1 species
UACAUAGGGUGCAAGCGUUAAUCGGAAUUACUGGGCGUAAAGCGUGCGCAGGCGGUUUGCUAAGACAGGUGUGAAAUCCCCGGGCUUAACCUGGGAACUGCGCUUGUUACUGGCAGGCUUGAGUGUGGCAGAGGGGGGUGGAAUUCCACGUGUAGCAGUGAAAUGCGUAGAGAUGUGGAGGAACACCGAUGGCGAAGGCAGCCCCCUGGGCUAACACUGACGCUCAUGCACGAAAGCGUGGGGAGCAAACAGG